UGUGAAGCCAUGAUUUUUUUUUCUGGCCACAAUCCUGUCACCUUAGGUCGAUCGGUACCUCAGUUUUAUAUCUUUAAUGAUAUUGAAUUCAGUUCCUAAACUUUGUCUAGGUCACACCCAACAAGGGUACUCCUGGGCCAUUAGCUCAGGUGGUUAGAGCGCACCCCUGAUAAGGGUGAGGUCCCUGGUUCAAGUCCAGGAUGGCCCAUUCGGUGUUGGGGGUAUAGCUCAGUUGGUAGAGCGCCUGCUUUGCAAGCAGGAUGUCAGCGGUUCGAGUCCGCUUACCUCCACUGAUCGACCUCCUGAUAACGAAACUCCAGGAGAUUUAUUGAUGGUUGUGAUCUAGUAUUUGUUCUUCGAAAUCAAGAACCUAGCUUCUUGUCAUACCUUCGAGUCUUUUUAAGACAUUGGUUGAUAAGACGCUGGGCUCUCUGCAAUUUAAAUUGCAGAGAUCUUCAGUAGAACCUUGACAACUGCAUAGGUGAGUCUGGAAAAGAAUAAAAGCAUCUCAUGGAUACAUUAUUCUUUGAAUUAAAGCUAAUUUCUAAGCAUUUAGAUUUUGGCUUUCUUUGAUUUUUAAUGUUAAAUUCUUGAGCAAGAGUCGAGACUCUAGAACG
rnacentral:tRNA from 1 species